GGAUGUGAGGGCGAUCUGGCUGCGACAAUCCCAUUGAUCCCUAGGGUUGACUCGGCUGGUCUGGCUGGCUAGGGGGAUGUCCCCUUCCUCCUUCACCGCUCCAUGUGUAUCCCUCCCGAUACAUGCUUGGUCGAAGAGGACGAUCUUCCCUGCUAAAGGAGGACUGUUCUUUGGUCAAAGGUAUACGAGUAGCUGCACUCCCCUGCUAGAACCUCCAAACAAUCUCUCAAGAUGGAAUUUUGGUCUGGUAAAGAUUUGGACCUAUUUCUUUUGGAGGAUUGGGUGCAUCCUCUUGGA
rnacentral:snRNA from 1 species